CCUACGGGAGGCAGCAGUGAGGAAUAUUGGUCAAUGGUCGGGAGACUGAACCAGCCAAGCCGCGUGAGGGAUGAAGGUACAGAGUAUCGUAAACCUCUUUUGUCAGGGAACAAAGGCGGGGACGUGUCCCCGGAUGAGUGUACCUGAAGAAAAAGCAUCGGCUAACUCCGUGCCAGCAGCCGCGGUAAUACGGAGGAUGCGAGCGUUAUCCGGAUUUAUUGGGUUUAAAGGGUGCGAAGGCGGUCUGUUAAGUCAGCGGUAAAAGCCCGGGGCUCAACCCCGGCCCGCCGUUGAAACUGGCAGUCUCGAGUUGGAGAGAAGUAUGCGGAAUGCGCGGUGUAGCGGUGAAAUGCAUAGAGAUCGCGCAGAACUCCGAUUGCGAAGGCAGCAUGCCGGCUCCACACUGACGCUGAGGCACGAAAGCGUGGGUAUCGAACAGGAUUAGAUACCCCAGUAGUC
rnacentral:rRNA from 1 species